AAACCCAUCAAAUUUUGGCGUAAUUGCCAGAGAAUUAAAAUUAUACUAAUUUAAUUCUUUUUAUGACCAAGUUUGAUCGUGAGAAAGCACUCCUUUAUGAUCGAAAAUAAAAAAGACCACUAAGAGUUUGAGAAAACAAAGUAAGCUGAAGAGAAAAGUGAGUAAUUAAGACUUAAUCCUUUAAGGCAAUAGUUCAAUCACUGAACCUGAAGCAGAAGAAGU
rnacentral:lncRNA from 1 species